rnacentral:rRNA from 2 species
GGACCAAGGAGUCUAGCAUGUGCGCGAGUCAUUGGGAUAUUUACGAAACCUAAAGGCGCAAUGAAAGUGAAGGUUCGCCUUGCGCGAACCGAGGGAGGAUGGACGAUUCCGAGGAGUCGUCUCGCACUCCCGGGGCGUCUCGCUCUCAUCGCGAGAAGAGGCGCACCCAGAGCGUACACGCUGGGACCCGAAAGAUGGUGAACUAUGCCUGGUCAGGACGAAGUCAGGGGAAACCCUGAUGGAGGUCCGUAGCGAUUCUGACGUGCAAAUCGAUCGUCGGAACUGGGUAUAGGGGCGAAAGACUAAUCGAACCAUCUAGUAGCUGGUUCCCUCCGAAGUUUCCCUCAGGAUAGCUGGCGCUCGCUUCUCGCGAGUCUCAUUCGGUAAAGCGAAUGAUUAGAGGCAUUGGGGUCGAAACGGCCUCAACCUAUUCUCAAACUUUAAAUGGGUGAGAUCUCCGGCUUGCUUGAACUAUGAAGCCGCGAGAUAUCGGAUCAGAGUGCCAAGUGGGCCACUUUUGGUAAGCAGAACUGGCGCUGUGGGAUGAACCAAACGCUGAGUUAAAGCGCCUAAAUCGACGCUUAUGGGAUACCAUGAAAGGCGUUGGUAACUUAAGACAGCAGGACGGUGGCCAUGGAAGUCGGA